UACCGAUACUUUUGCAAGAAUACUGAAAAGUGAUAAUACAAUUAUUCAAAUUGUUGGAAAACAAAAUUCAAACGUUACUUAUUUCAAAAAAGAAUGUUUGCUAACCGAUGAUAAAAAUACUCUGAUCAAUUUUACCUUGUGAGACGAACAAACUGCUACAGAAUUAAUAGAAGAUCAAAUUUAUGGAUUACAUAGCGUUAGGAUUAGUCAAGGAAAUUACGUAAAACAUAUUAACACUAUUGAAGAAACAAUAAUUGAAUUGAAUCCACAAAAUGAUCAAGCUAAACUGUUUUUUUGAGACAUCACUUAUGUAAAUUUCGAAAAGGCUGGAGGGUGAUUUUGAACACCCAGUAUAUUUAUUAUUUUAUAUCAAUCAAUUAAAAUUAUUAUUUUAGCAAGCUAAAAUGUAAGAAAUCCCAUUUCUAUAUUUAUAUUUCUCAUCGAGCUAAUGAGCAUCUGUUACUUAUAUUUAAACUCAUAAAAAGUAUAUAUGUUUACUUUUCUUUACAGACUACAGCAAAUUCAUCAAUCACAUGAUUUAUUAAAUGAUGACACAGAAGAUGAAACUCUAAUCGAAUUAUUAGAGACAUUUGAACAAAAAGAAGUUCAAUCAUUAUCAUCGUCGAAUGAAAUCAUCAGAAAAAUCGAAAAUAUUGACCAGACUGAUGAUAAUGAUAAUAAUGACAAGGAUAAAUCAGAAGACGAAGAUUUUAAAUUGCCGAUAAAAAGACAUAAACAAUCAUAAAUUAUUUUAAUUAUUAAAAAAAUUUAAUUUAUAUUCUCUUAACAUAUUUAAUCUGUUAUAGAUUCACUGGAUUUGGAAUACAAUAUUGACCAAACUGAUGAUGAUAAUAAUAAUACAAGGAUAAUUCAGAAGAUGAAGAUUUUUAAUUGCCGUUACAAAGACAUAAACAAUCAUAAAUUAUUUGAAUUAUUAAAAUUAAAUGUAAUUUAUAUUCUUUUAACAUAUUUAAUCUGUUGUAGAUUCACUGUAUUUGGAAAACAUUAUUGGUAAAAAGGAUUUAAAUUACUAAUCGUUCACAAGUUUAUCUUUGAAAAAAUUCAUUUGAAAAAGGAUCGAUAUUGGAUAUUUCCAGUGUAAAAAAUAAUUCAUAACAAUUAAAAACACUUGAAUUUGUAUCGACAUGUCGCAGUUAUCAAAAAAAAAAUGUAUAUAGUCAAAUAAUUCAUUAAGUAUCAAACAUAACAAAUUAUUGCAAAAUAUUAUUAGAAAAUUUUAUGAAAUUGCUGCUUAUAUGAUAUAUUUUAUCUUCUUUAGAUCCACAAAAUUUGAAAAUUAUUCUCUGAUAUUGGUUAACAUUUCCACGAAAAGAUUAUUCAAUACAAACAAAAAUAGGAAGAAGCAAUUUGAGGAGAAAGCAUAUAAUACAAAUUAUAAUGCAGAAUUCAAUAUAGUAUGAAACUUGAUUAUAUACUCUGUUCACCGUUAUUUUGAGCCAUGGUUUUUUCCGUGGACGUAAAGGUAAAUACCGGAGUAUAAAGACAAAGAAUCCAUGGCAUACAAGGUGUCUUCUUGUAUCUUCACCUGCUUAAACAUUGUUUAAAAUAUCUUAAUUAAGCAAAGCAAACUAACUUAUUUUUGUAAAUAAUUAGAGAAUUCUGUAUUUUUAAUAAAUACAAUUAACAAGUUUAA